rfam:Echinostoma caproni strain Egypt genome assembly, scaffold: ECPE_scaffold0018137
GGCCUCGUAGCUCAGCUGGUAGAGCGUGCACUGCACAAAAGCAUAGGCGGCGUCCAUGCGUGGGUUCGAAUCCAACCGAAACUA